rnacentral:lncRNA from 1 species
AAUCAACUAAACAUAAGUAAUAACAUUAGACACAUUGCAUUUCAUAAAAGAUCAAAUUUUCAUUCAUUAUCAAAAUAAGAUUAUAGAAGCGAUCAAUACAUCAGUUUAUUCAAAAUGCAUGAGGACUAUAUGUACUAAAAAAAUGGAUUGCUAUGAAUACUAAAGCUCUAUAAAAGGAUUCCUAGCGUCCUAAGAGAGUGGAUCAGGGUAAUCCUAGGAUAAAGGUCCAGGUUGGCUAGAUGAAGAGGA